GAUGAACGCUGGCGGCGUGCCUAAUACAUGCAAGUCGAGCGAACGGACGAGAAGCUUGCUUCUCUGAUGUUAGCGGCGGACGGGUGAGUAACACGUGGGUAACCUACCUAUAAGACUGGGAUAACUUCGUUAAACCGGAGCUAAUACCGGAUAAUAUUUUGAACCGCAUGGUUCAAAAGUGAAAGACGGUCUUGCUGUCACUUAUAGAUGGAUCCGCGCUGCAUUAGCUAGUUGGUAAGGUAACGGCUUACCAAGGCAACGAUGCAUAGCCGACCUGAGAGGGUGACCGGCCACACUGGAACUGAGACACGGUCCAGACUCCUACGGGAGGCAGCAGUAGGGAAUCUUCCGCAAUGGGCGAAAGCCUGACGGAGCAACGCCGCGUGAGUGAUGAAGGUCUUCGGACCGUAAAACUCUGUUAUUAGGGAAGAACAUAUGUGUAAGUAACUGUGCACAUCUUGACGGUACCUAAUCAGAAAGCCACGGCUAACUACGUG
rnacentral:rRNA from 1 species